rnacentral:rRNA from 1 species
UACGAAGGGGGCUAGCGUUGCUCGGAAUCACUGGGCGUAAAGCGCACGUAGGCGGAUUGCUAAGUCAGGGGUGAAAUCCUGGAGCUCAACUCCAGAACUGCCUUUGAUACUGAAGAUCUUGAGUUCGGGAGAGGUGAGUGGAACUGCGAGUGUAGAGGUGAAAUUCGUAGAUAUUCGCAAGAACACCAGUGGCGAAGGCGGCUCACUGGCCCGAUACUGACGCUGAGGCACGGAAAAGCGUGGGGGAGCAAACAGG